GACGAACGCUGGCGGCGUGCUUAACACAUGCAAGUCGAACGAUGAAGCCGGAGCUUGCUCCGGUGGAUUAGUGGCGAACGGGUGAGUAACACGUGAGCAAUCUGCCCUUGACUCUGGGAUAACUGCGGGAAACUGUAGCUAAUACCGGAUACGACACCUUGGGGCAUCCCAGGGUGUGGAAAGAAUUUCGGUCAAGGAUGAGCUCGCGGCCUAUCAGCUAGUUGGGGAGGUAAUGGCUCACCAAGGCGACGACGGGUAGCCGGCCUGAGAGGGUGAACGGCCAACCUGGAACUGAGACACGGUCCAGACUCCUACGGGAGGCAGCAGUGGGGAAUAUUGCACAAUGGGCGAAAGCAUGAUGCCGCAACGCCGCGUGAGGGAUGGAGGCCUUCGGGUUGUAAACCUCUUUUAGCAGGGAAGAAGCGAAAGUGACGGUACCUGCAGAAAAAGCACCGGCUAACUACGUGCCAGCCGCCGCAGUAA
rnacentral:rRNA from 1 species